rnacentral:rRNA from 1 species
CCUACGGGUGGCAGCAGUGAGGAAUAUUGGUCAAUGGGCGGGAGCCUGAACCAGCCAAGCCGCGUGAGGGAAGAAGGUCCAGCGUAUCGUAAACCUCUUUUGUCAGGGAACAAAGGCGGGGACUAGUCCCCGGAUGAGGGUACCUGAAGAAAAAGCAUCGGCUAACACCGUGCCAGCAGCCGCGGUAAUCCGGAGGAUGCGGGCGUUAUCCGGAUUUCGUGGGUUAAAGGGGUGCGCAGGCGGCCUGUUAAGUCAGCGGGAAAAGCCCGGGGCUCAACCCCGGCGAGCCGUUGAAACUGGCGGGCUGGAGUUGGAGAGAAGUACGCGGAAUGCGCGGUGUAGCGGUGAAAUGCUUAGAUAUCGCGCAGAACCCCGGUUGCGAAGGCAGCGUACCGGCUCCACACUGACGCUGAGGCACGAAAGCGUGGGUAUCGAACAGGAUUAGAUACCCGGGUAGUC